CUUAUAUUAACACAGAAAAAAAAAACUAUUAAUAUAUAAAACAGAAUUAGGUUUCAGGCUAAUUUUUUUUAAUAUUUUUUAGUUGUUGAUGGACCUUUAUUUUAUUUAUUUGUAUGUGGUGCUGAGAAUCAAACCCAGUGCCUCACACAUGCUAGGCAAACACACUACCACUGAGCCACGAUCCCAGCCCCAAGACUAAUUUUUUAAAUAUUUAUUUUUUAGUUGUAGUUGGACACAAUACCUUUACUUAUUUAUAUGUGGUGCCGAGGCUCGAACCCAGGGCUUCACACGUGCCAGGCCAGCACUCCACCACUGAGCCACAAUCUCAGCCCAGGUUUCAGACUAAUUUUGAAGAGGUUUUCAUCAAUAUGAAUAUCAAACAUGAUAUCCAGAAUCCAUGCAGGAUGUGGGACUACUUUGUCCUUUGUAUUGCAGGAAAACUAAUAUCCACCCGACAUCUACUCAGUGCCAGAAGUAACUUCAUCAGUGAGACAACUAAAAGCAUCCACAUGCUUCUAGAUGCCCCUGGAGGGAUAAUUAUGCCCACUGAGGAUUUUUCUAGAAGUUUUCAGUCUAUUGUGUCUUAGCUUUUAGCACAUUGGAGCCUCACAAAACUGGAUGAAUAAGAGACUGGGGUUGUGGUUCAGUGGUAGAGUGCCUGCCUAGCACAUGUGAACGUCUCUUAUUUUGCACAUGUGAAUGAACUGGGUUCAGUCCUCAGCACCACAUAAAAAUAAAUAAAGAUAUUGUGUCCACAUAUAAUAAAAAAAUAUUUUUAAAAAAACUGGGUGAAUAAGUACUAUGUAACUUAUGUCAUUCUGUACAUGAGCAAA
rnacentral:lncRNA from 1 species